rnacentral:lncRNA from 1 species
AUGUAGGGAUGUAGGGUUUAUAUGGACAAAAACAAGAAAGGAUGAGGUUCUUGGUAUUUUUUUCACACAAAAAGUAUAUGAAAGCUUUGGUAAAAAGUGUUGAAAAUAUUGAGAUAUGGUGUAAGGUGGAAGAUGAGGGUUUGGUAUUUAUAGGAAAAAAAACAUUUUAAUAUUUUCUGUAUUUUUUAACAAUUUUUAAUAAUUUUUAGUUAAUUUUUUAUAAAUUUUAAUUUAGGUAAUUCAUCUAGACCGUUGGAUUUAAAAAAUAUUAAAAUCCAACAUCCUAUAAGUUGACACGUGACCAACGGUCAUAAUUCUGACCGUUGUGCCUUUUUCUUUUUCUUUUUUUGAAAAAAAUUGGAGGAAAACGUGGACCGUUGAUGUGUGAUUGGACGGUCCAGAUCAAAAUUCAAAUUUUUUUUUCCAUUGGAAAUCCAACGGCCCAAUAUUCAUGCACUAAUAGUGUCUCAACUUAUAACCCAUUUAAGCCCAAUAGUCUAAAUGUGUGAUGACUCUUUGUGUGCAUCUAAGUAAAUAUUUUAUAUCAAAAUCUCUUGACGCCAUUAGUAGUAGGAUCACAUAUUUUUAAAGUGUGUAUUAAUAUGUUGUACUCCUUUGAUGUGUGUGAUGUUGCGCAUCAUUCAUUUGGCUUGUAUCCAGCCAAACUACACCAACAGAUCAUAUAUGGACACAUUCGUAACUAGAUUCUUUAGACCACUUGAAAACCCUUUUCUCCUCUUAAUUUAGUUUAAGAUAGUCAUAUUGUUUCUAAUAAGGGUUUUUAGUCAAAAUGUACCUUGAGAUUGUUUUGAUCCCUAACAAUGAAAAUCGAUAAAAGUCAUCAUUGAGUUUGUCCACAUAAAUCAUUUUUUAUAGUGAAAAAUCUAUCAACAUCCUCAUUAAGUGGAGGGGUUGGUUGAGUACCCUUAAAGGUGAUCGAACGGUUGCUCACGGGACAAUUUAACGACGAUAGUCAAAGAUUUUUUUGCGAAAUGACCAUUUACGGUGGACAAACUCAUUGUCAAAAACCAAGGUGAGAAAUUAUGUCAAUCUAAGUAACUCUUUUGGCUAAAAAGCCUUCUAAUAAUAAAAAAAAAUACUCACUUGUCAUGUAGACAAAUAACAAAAAGAUAAGCUUGACUAUCUGUUUGGCAAAUUAAAUCAAUAGAAAUCAUCUCUGAAAAGCCAGUCGUACGUAAGGAACACCUUCAUGCAGUUCCUUCUGGGUUUUGGCAAUUAACCAUAUCAGUUCACCAGAACAUCUCUAGAAAGCUACAGGCACACAACAAUCAGCAUGCCAAUCAUGCCAGAAAAAUAGGUCAUGUGCAAUUUAUAACUUGUACACCACCAUGAUCAUUUGCACGGAUUGACCAUUAAUAGCAAGUAAUCAAAUGUCUUUUCUUUUGGUUUUUUCGACCAUGUGGAAACAAGGUUUAGUGCUUGGUAACACGUUGGGCAAGUACUUUUGAGUUUCAGGGAAUAAGACAGGGAAGAUAAAAUCGUUUAUCUGACUAAUUUAUUAUAUACCGUAUUUGAGUAUCCUAAGUACUGGUAUGUGGGAUUAUUUGGAUAUGUCUGUGUGUUUUCUUUGAGAAGAGCUUGCUGUUCAAACAAGGGAAGAAAUCAUGUCCACUGGUUUACUAUGAAAUAUGUUGAUGCACAAAAUCAGUAAGACUUUGGAACAACGUAAAGUGUCAAGUUUGUGAUCGUUCGGUUACUCCGGUUACCUAGUGAGGAUAAUAUGUAAGAGAUAGAGAUAAAGAAGCAAACACAAAAUGUAUAUGGUUCACCCUAAGUUUGGCUACGUCCACGGGGUAGAUGAGUUCUCAUUAAUUGUGAAGGGUUUACACAACACAUACGUUCAAGCAUAAUCAUCAUUUGUGAAAUUUCAUUCUUGGAUUUCACUGUUACAAUCUACGUAUUUGUAGUAUUGAGAUUUUAUAUUAUUUCUCAAGAAUUUAUUUUAAUUUGUUUGAAUUUAGAUUUUAAUUAAACUAGUUACGUAGUUUGAUGUUUAGAAAUUAAUUAUUUAAAAUCUGUGGACCUUUCGAGGUCACAAUUUAUAUUUUUGAAUAGAUCUUGAAACCACAAAUGUAUAGGCGAAAGCUGUUUUCGAGUCCAGAUUAUAACGGUAUAGUUACGGACAUUUGAAGUUGUUUUACUAAACUAUAGAUUUUAAAUCAAUUAAACUUCCACAAGGAAGAAGCCUAAUCAGAUUUAAGCAAAAAUAAGGGGACCAAUCAGCUAGAAGGAGAAGGACCAAUCAAAUUAAAGG